rnacentral:rRNA from 1 species
UACGAAGGGGGCUAGCGUUGCUCGGAAUCACUGGGCGUAAAGGGUGCGUAGGCGGGUCUUUAAGUCAGAGGUGAAAUCCUGGAGCUCAACUCCAGAACUGCCUUUGAUACUGAGGAUCUUGAGUUCGGGAGAGGUGAGUGGAACUGCGAGUGUAGAGGUGAAAUUCGUAGAUAUUCGCAAGAACACCAGUGGCGAAGGCGGCUCACUGGCCCGAUACUGACGCUGAGGUGCGAAAGCGUGGGGAGCAAACAGGG